AUGUGGCACUUUUCGGAUUUUGAGAUUCAAACAAGUCUAUCUUUGAUCUAAGUUUUUCAUAGAUCUUUUAAACAUUUUGAAUUAUCAAUUAUUGUGACUUAUAGUACUUUAUACGUAGUUUACAAAUAUAUAAAUUUCAUUUCAAAAAAAAUGAAGAUCCAAUGCGCAAAUUUCCGAUCAAACUUAAAUUGUUUGACUCUCGAAAAACGAAAAGUAUCACAUAA
rnacentral:pre_miRNA from 1 species